AGUGGUUCUUAACAGUUCAACAGUU
rnacentral:miRNA from 1 species